rnacentral:rRNA from 1 species
UGGCGAACGGGUGAGUAACACGUGGGCAACCUGCCCAAAAGAGGGGGAUAACACUUGGAAACAGGUGCUAAUACCGCAUAACCAUAGUUACCGCAUGGUAACUAUGUAAAAGGUGGCUAUGCUACCGCUUUUGAAUGGGCCCGCGGCGCAUUAGCUAGUUGGUGGGGUAAAGGCUUACCAAGGCAAUGAUGCGUAGCCGAACUGAGAGGUUGAUCGGCCACAUUGGGACUGAGACACGGCCCAAACUCCUACGGAAGGCAGCAG